GACGAACGCUGGCGGCGUGCCUAAUACAUGCAAGUCGAGCGAAUCGAUGGGAGCUUGCUCCCUGAGAUUAGCGGCGGACGGGUGAGUAACACGUGGGUAACCUGCCUGUAAGACUGGGAUAACUUCGGGAAACCGGAGCUAAUACCGGCUACUUUCUUUUCUCGCAUGCGGGAAGAUGGAAAGAUGGUUCUGCUAUCACUUAACGAUUGACCAGCGGCGCAUUAGCUAGUUGGUGAGGUAACGGCUCACAAAGGCGACGAUGCGUAGCCGACCUGAGAGGGUGAUCGGCCACACUGGGACUGAGACACGGCCCAGACUCCUACGGGAGGCAGCAGUAGGGAAUCUUCCGCAAUGGACGAAAGUCUGACGGAGCAACGCCGCGUGAGCGAAGAAGGCCUUCGGGUCGUAAAGCUCUGUUGUUAGGGAAGAACAAGUACGAGAGUAACUGCUCGUACCUUGACGGUACCUAACCAGAAAGCCACGGCUAACUACGUGCCAGCAGCCGCCGUAACAC
rnacentral:rRNA from 1 species